rfam:Citrus sinensis cultivar Ridge Pineapple sweet orange scaffold00053_contig_62, whole genome shotgun sequence.
AAUGACACGAUGAGGAGCAAGCUUUGUGUAUUCAUUGAGAUCGAAUGAUCUAUGACAUUUUCGAAAGUUAAAAAAAGUCCUUUUCAUUCUGAGUGUCAA